rnacentral:rRNA from 1 species
UACGGGGGGGGCAAGCGUUGUUCGGAAUUACUGGGCGUAAAGGGCUCGUAGGCGGCCAACUAAGUCAGACGUGAAAUCCCUCGGCUUAACCGGGGAACUGCGUCUGAUACUGGAUGGCUUGAGUUUGGGAGAGGGAUGCGGAACUCCAGGUGUAGCGGUGAAAUGCGUAGAUAUCUGGAGGAACACCGGUGGCGAAGGCGGCAUCCUGGACCAACACUGACACUGAAAAGCGAAAGCCAGGGGAGCAAACGGG